GUCCACUAUUCAGUUGGUAGAGUACAAAGCUAUUAACCUUGUGGACGUGGGUUCACGCCCCAUGGUGGACA
rfam:Triticum aestivum genome assembly, contig: Triticum_aestivum_CS42_TGACv1_scaffold_364058_4DS